GUGUGUGUGUGUGUGUGUGUGCAGCAUACAAUAAAAUCCAACAAACCAAAAUGUUAAUCAUCGUUACACACAGGCAUAUAAAAGCAACAAAAGUAAAAUAGCAUAUUUAACAACACAAACAAUAUGAAUUAUUCAGAUGGAAAAAUUAAGAAGCCACUGAAUCUACAAGCAUGCUUUAAAUCAGGAUCAUUUGUAAAAGGAUCUUCAAACUUCAACUGAACUAAAUGACCAGAUCAAUGAAAUAUUAAAGUAUUACACAAGAAGUUCUUUACUAGUAAGAGGCACCAAGGAACAACAGACAUUUGACCUAUGAAAUCUAACCUUUCACUCACAUCACCACAUUUAUUUAGAAGCACAAAGUCCAUUAGAAUAGUUAGCAUGAUUCAUUGGGAACAUGAAAACAAUGCAGAUUGAUGUAUGAGAUUCUUAUGAGAUUUCAUAUUUUUGACUCACAUGAUUCUCGACUUAGAUUUCGGAACUUUAUGAGAUUCUUUAAUCAACUGUAAAGAGAAAACCAUGCAGAUUGAUAUAUUGUUAAUCCUCUUUAACACAUACAGAAAGCCAAGUCAUUAAUACCCUUCUGUU
rnacentral:misc_RNA from 1 species